rnacentral:rRNA from 1 species
GGGGGGGGGGGGGGGGGGGGGGGGGGGGGGGGGGGGGGGGGGGCGGACGGGGGGCGUGGUCGGCUGGGGGGAGGGGGGGGCGGGUGGGGAACAGGUGGAUAAGCUACCUGUAAGACGGGGAGAACUUCGGGAAGCCGGAGCUAAUGCCGGAUAGUAUAUUGAAGCGCAGGGCUCACUAGAGAAGGACGGGGUGGCUUUAUCUUAUAGAUGGAUCCGAGGCGCAUUAGCUAGUUGGUAAGGUAACGGCUUACCAAGGCGACGAUGCGUAGCCGACCUGAGAGGGUGAUCGGCCACACUGGAACUGAGACACGGUCCAGACUCCUACGGGAGGCAGCAGUAGGGAAUCUUCCGCAAUGGGCGAAAGCCUGACGGAGCAACGCCGCGUGAGUGAUGAAGGUCUUCGGAUCGUAAAACUCUGUUAUUAGGGAAGAACAAAUGUGUAAGUAACUAUGCACGUCUUGACGGUACCUAAUCAGAAAGCCACGGCUAACUACGUG